rnacentral:rRNA from 1 species
UACGGGGGGGGGGCAAGCGUUGUUCGGAAUUACUGGGCGUAAAGGGCUCGUAGGUGGCCAACUAAGUCAGACGUGAAAUCCCUCGGCUUAACCGGGGGAACUGCGUCUGAUACUGGAUGGCUUGAGUUUGGGAGAGGGACGCGGAAUUCCAGGUGUAGCGGUGAAAUGCGUAGAUAUCUGGAGGAACACCGGUGGCGAAGGCGGCAUCCUGGACCGGUAUUGACGCUGAGGCGCGAAAGCUAGGGGAGCAAACGGG